UUUAUUCAGAUUUGUAGUCAAGGUCUUCAGCUUGCCAUUGAACUCUAAAGCCACAUUGUUGUAAUCUGAAAUGCAGUCAUUUCCACCCAUGAAAUUUGUGGUUCUCUCCAGUGGCAAGCACCCCAUUGGAGGUAGGCCUCCUAAGGAUAUUUUCCGAGCUCCGAGAUCGUAGAGUUGUUUGAUGAAAUUUCCUGCAAUUCCAAUGAGAAAAUCUUGGUAUUGUUCGAUAGAGUAUUGAUUCGACCGGCCGGGGUAUGUGUAGUAGUUUUCAAGGAAGUCAUUGGUUCCUAAGCUCAUCAUGUGCAAAGCUUCAUGGAUGGUUUGGUCUGCUUUGUUUCCUCCCAUAUAAAGUCUCAACUUGUUCUGAAAUUCUUUGUAGUACUGCAACUGCUUCCAUAGUGGUAUCACUGACUACAAAGUAAGGUAGUACAGUCCAUUAGUAUGAUAUAUAUACUGAAUUAGUACAAGGCUUAAUUAGAAUCAUGAACUGAUAUCGAGUAUCAAUAUACAAUACCUACUACAUUUUUUUUAUUAAUAAAUACUGUAAAAUAAAUUGUGAUAAAAUAUUGACUAAUUAUAAAAAAUGUAAUAGAUAUUGUAAAUUGGUACUUGGCAUCAAACACUAUUAUUUUCCCUUGUUGGUAUAAAGUGAAGUAAAUGGGCCGGUGCAACACUAGCUAGAUAUCUAAUAUCAUAUUAGACAAUCAUUAUAACUCAAUAGAAAGUGAACCAAUUAAUCGAUCAAGUUAAUAGUAACUAUAUUUAUCUGUGGAGAGAGAAGCUUUAUAAUAAAUAUUUGGGACAUACUAGCACAUCUGAAGUUGCAGUGUCAUAGCCAGUGCCAGCAGAAGCAAAAGUAACUCCGACUGCAAAAUCUGAUAUGUUAUAAGCAGGAUCCAAGUAGGCAGGUACGGAUGAUCUAAGUCCAAAAGCGUUGGAGAUGAAGUCCGUAGGCACUCUGCCAUUGGAGAACCUCCCAGUUGGCUUGCCACCUUCAAAGUCACGACCAUAGGGCUGGAAAUUGCUCUUCAAAACUGUUUGA
rnacentral:lncRNA from 1 species